UCGAACUUAUCUAAUAGUAUAGAAGAAACUGUUUCAUAAAAUGGAAGAAUUGUUGAACUCUCCAGGGUGAAAAGAUUCGAAAAUACUAUUAUGUACAAUCCACACAUAAGUAUUUAUAUAUUUAAUAACUGCAUUGGAUAUCCAAAAGGAUUCAAAUAACUAGAAAUAUUUUUGAUGAAGAAUAUUGUUUACAAUGUUUUCUUUACGGAUAAGUUAU